CAGCCGCCGCGGGAAAACGGAGGGUGCGAGCGUUAAUCGGAAUUACUGGGCGUAAAGCGCACGUAGGCGGCUUUGUAAGUUAGAGGUGAAAGCCUGGAGCUCAACUCCAGAAUUGCCUUUAAGACUGCAUCGCUUGAAUCCAGGAGAGGUGAGUGGAAUUCCGAGUGUAGAGGUGAAAUUCGUAGAUAUUCGGAAGAACACCAGUGGCGAAGGCGGCUCACUGGACUGGUAUUGACGCUGAGGUGCGAAAGCGUGGGGAGCAAACAGGAUUAGAUACCCCUGUAGUCCCUGUCUCUUAUAC
rnacentral:rRNA from 1 species